CUAUUUGGCACUUGGCCAAGUGCCAGCGAGCGGUGAGUGUCUGCAUGCGCUUUUUAAAGUUUUCUUUAUUUUAAGAACAGAAAUACAUCUUGGCCUUCAAGCUGCAAUGGCAAAUUUGCAAACAAGCUAGGCUUUCAAUGUAAACACGAUUAUGGACCACUCACGCCUUUCCUUCAGUACCUGCCCUGAAACGCUUCUGCUGGAACCGGAAACCCACACUGCCAGAGGAAACAAGGACACUCAGCAAAAUAUGGACUCUACACCAUGAGGCAGGCACACGUUAAUACUCUAUAAGAGCACAUAAGGCUGGCUGAUCACCUGAUAACUCAUGUCAUCUGGUUGUGACAGCAUGAGAAUGUCCUCACACACCUGUAACCUAUCAACUCAUCUGGCAGAAUAGAGAGAGAAGAGACAACACCACAUCUCCUGUUCCUGGAAAGCCUUCAGCCAUCCUUCGAUGACUGAGAACCUCCAUCAGCUCUGUCUCCUGUCUGCCUACAAUUAUUAUAAUAAAUAUUGUGUUUGACAAGUUUUUUGUGCUGCCAAAUAUCUCAUUUUGAUUCCAGUUUUGAUAUUUUAAUGGAUAUUUAUAAAUUACAUUAGUUUAAUUAUCACAUUGUUGCAUGUUUAACUAGCUCUAUUGUGAUGAAUUAAACUAGCACCUCACUGUUGAAAGCUCAUUUUAAUUUCAAGCAUGUUUAAGUAUUUAUGGACAUGAACAAAAACAGGAAAUAUAUAAAUUGAGAUUUAUUUAAAUAAUAUAGCAAAUAAGGGGGAAAGAGUCAUUGAAAGGCACAUUCUUCUGAAAGCUCCUGAUCCUGACGACACCAGCAGAGGAGACCAGCAGCAGACACCAGAGGAUCACAUACGACCAAGAGAGCAGCUGGUAUCAGUAAAUAAAUAAUGAAAUCAGGGCAGUUCUAGUGGGCUGAACACAUUACAGAAUAAUUUUCUCAUGGGAUAUUUUCAUAACUUUAUGCAGCAGAUUGUAACUUGAGCCCAGGGCUCCUGGAGAGCUGCUAUCCAGCACGUUUCAGUGGUUUUCCUGCUUUAACAGGUUAGAUUAGCUGUUAAGCAGCUCAGCUAUUUGUUGCUGACUAAAACCAGGUGUGUUGAAGCAGAUAAAUCUCUAAAACAUGCUGAAUACUGGCUCUAUAGGGCCGUGGAGCCAAACCCUGCAGCUAAUCUAAUGCUAUGGCUAACGGCUACUUACCAUUCAGAGCUGGUUCUGUUGGGUCGGUUCCGCUAGUUUCAGGCAACUCACAAGCUCAAAACAAUAAGGCUCAGGUCCGCUUGUCUCCUCCAAAUAGACUUGGUCCCUUUCUUCUCGAGUGUCUGGGUAAGGAGGGGGAGAAACCUCCACUUCUAAUGACUGCUCAGAGUGAAAGGAGCUAGCAUCGUCUCGUUACCCAUCGUCUUCGUCACUGCCACGGCUCCGCCCUCUCGGUCCACCAGGCAACUCCUACUAAUGUUGCAGUUUUUAAAAUUGAUACUUGGGUGGAGAAGGACUCUGAGGCACACUUGACCCGCUCUUUAAGUAGCAACUUCAAACGGAGGAGGGAUGGUGCCAGCCUCACUGAAAGAGGAAGAGCAUUCCAGAGUGUCGGAGCAGCAUAGACAAAGCACGCUGCCCCCGCGUUUUGUAUUUCAUUGCUGGAACGCGAAGCAGCAGGCAAUAAGCAGAUCUCAACGCCCGGUUUGGCACAUAACUGUCAUGUUCACGAGCCAAGGUGAGUAAUUCUCUUCCACUAACCAUCUCCGGGUCAAUUUCCCACAGGUGAGAAGCGGAGGGGGCAGCAGCUGCACUGAAUCUCCAAUCAGGAAGUCGGGUAUAAAAAGAGGAUGGAGACACCACUCUACGCCGGAUGAUUGCUCAAUUUUAGGUAGCCCCAGCCACUCGUGUUUGUUUGCUCGCUUGACUCGUUUUUUUGGAUUAUUGGAUUUAGAACUUCAGACUGUCUUGGAUUACGUUUUUGGAUUAUCCUUUAAAACUCCUGUUUGUUUGCUGUACUCAGGACAACUCCACCUGGUUAUUUCAGUCAAAAUUGCUCUUCUGUAAGCUUGAGUUAGUUGGCCAUUCUCCUCUUACCUCUAGCAUCAACAAGAUUCUUAAAUUGCUUAAAUCACCUUUCAUUCCCAUUCUGACAUACAGUUUGGCAUUCAGGAGAUUGUCUUGACCAGGACCACACCCCUAAAUGCAUUGAAGCAACUGUCAUGUGGUAGAUUAGAUAAUUGCAUUAAGGAGAAGUUGAACAGGUGUUCCUAAUAAUCCUUUAGGUGAGUGUAUUCAUUGAUCCUAAAUCAAUCCAAAUAAAUUCUUCACAAUAAAAUGCUUAAUGUCUAGGUGUCUUAUUUGUGAGUGAUAUCUAAAGUGGAUUAGGAGUUUGACUGACCAGCUGUGACCAGAAGAAGAUGUGCCUGGAAUGUUCUUCCUCUGUCCAGGGGCAUUGAUUAGCUUUAGCGAUGAGGACUUCUUUCAUUCUUUCUUCUCACCAAAAUAAGUCAGCCAAUUUGGUUUUGGCUUCUGAUUAACUCAAUCGCUGCCAGCGUUUCGCACCGUUUUUACUGUUUUUUUAAGAGUCACAGAACGUUGCGCGCUAGGAUGAUGUCGACACCAAAACAACCAAAACAAAGCGGAGACUCACCUCUUACAUCAGGAAGAAUCUACGCAUUUCGAGCGUUACCCGUUCUUUCAUAAUCCAUUGUUGAAUUGUGAUCGGCAGAAGCUUUUCCGGUUCAUGCCUCACUUUUUUUUUACAGCAGAGGCCCAAAACGAUCUCCUAACACAUGGAUGUUCUGCUUCCUGAUCACGUGACAUGUGACGUAUGUGGAUGAAGAUCGACUUUAAAGCUGAGAUGUUUGUUCUCACGGUGCGGUGUCCGCACGGUGCGUUCUGAUGCCCACAUAGUAAAAAAAAUUGGCAGUGAAUGGAUGGAUUUCAAAUGACGACUCAUGCACGUCAAUGGCAGUGCAUGAGUCAAGAGGUCAUAUGGUUGGUAUCCCACCAGGAGUAGAAGUCGGGCAGAACUUACUGGAGGGAUUAUAUAUCAUCUCUGGUCUGGGAAUGCUUUACAACCCCCCACUUGGACUCUAAAGCCACAUGUGACUCUUCAUCCCCUCUGAAGGCCCUCUUUGGUAACUUUCACCAUGACUGUCGCCAACCACCAACACCGUUUCCUGUAAUUAUAAUACUUAAUUUAGCUAAAACCGUCGAUAAUUUUGAAUUAAAAACUGUAACCAGCUCUACUGUUCAGCUGUUUAGGAAGUAGCUCUGCCUAGUUCUAAGCACAAAAGUGUAAAUUUUGUUUUAAAACACAUGUCAUUUGUGUACUUCAAAGAAUGUCAGUGCCAUAAAAUAUUUUCUACACGCAUGUUUGAAGAGAAAAAUGACACUUCUUUAAAAACAGGUAUCUGUAUUAUAGGGUUAAGUCGAUUUUGUGGCCCUACACUAAUCAUACUGGGUGGUAGUGACAAUGAAAAAGGCUUUAUUUGUAUUGUAAAGGUUGCAGACCUCAUUAUUUGGAGUUAUGUGGAUGUACCUUCUGGACCUGGUACAUCCACCAGUGGAUGAACGGAUGAAUGGAUAAUGGAUGCAUGGAUAAAAAACCCAAACAUUGUGUGUUUUCAAUCAGUAACUACGCUACAUUACCUAUUCUGCAUUUAUUGGCUUUCCCUCACAAGUGCGUCCCUCAAUUAUUUUCCAAGUCAUAGUAAAAGAGAUAUUUUUCUCAGUAAUUUUGCUUGCACAGUGUUAGAGUCCAAUCUUUUUAAUGCUUUAGGACAAAGGCUUGAAGCUUGGUGGAAUCUGAAAAACAGGCAUGCCAGCACACCACUAUUAGUCUUCACUCUCUACAUAAUCGCUGUCUUUACCUACUUCGUUCUUUGAUUUCUUGUUUUUAUUUUUUUACUCACCAGCUCUUUCAAAUGAAGUAAUCUGCUGAGUUUGUCUUAAAAAGAACUUGAGCUUCAAGAUUUAGUUUGUGUCUCAGUGUGUUUAUGUAACAUUUGAGAUGAAUAAUUACGUUGUACGGCUCCAGAUUUCUGCAUGAUUGGUUUAAAAAGUUAGGAUUUUGUCAGCUGAGAAAAAGUUGCUCUGAGAAAGACAGUUUGUCAGUACUAGUGACUGUAGAUAUAAUAGACACACCAUCUGCACCGUCACCCGUAGGUUCCCACCACCGCCAUCUUGGCUGUUCUCUCAUCAUUCCCAGAAAAUACAAAAACUGACCGGAGAAUGGGGAUGUGAGGCUGGGGGCAGAUGAUUGACAGCCACAAACUCUGAGUCAAUAUAGCUACGAGCUAACUGAGCUAACCAAAGCUAACAGAGGUUAGCAUGCUUUUAGCCAGAAAACUGUGUUGAAGUGAGUCUGCUAUCCUCGGCCUUCUCGGGAGCAAACAGGGCGGCAAGCUGCUAGUGCUGGCUUUGAUGGCUUAUCUUCUACAUGUCAAUCAAAAGCACACUCCCCUGAUUUUUUAUGUUUCCAAGCUUUAGUGACCUCUAAACAC